rnacentral:rRNA from 1 species
GACGAACGCUGGCGGCGUGCUUAACACAUGCAAGUCGAGCGGAAAGGCCCUUCGGGGUACUCGAGCGGCGAACGGGUGAGUAACACGUGAGUAACCUGCCCCAGACUUUGGGAUAACCCUCGGAAACGGGGGCUAAUACCGGAUACGACACAGCUUCGCAUGGGGUCUGUGUGGAAAGUUUUUCGGUUUGGGAUGGGCUCGCGGCCUAUCAGCUUGUUGGUGGGGUGAUGGCCUACCAAGGCGACGACGGGUAGCCGGCCUGAGAGGGUGACCGGCCACACUGGGACUGAGACACGGCCCAGACUCCUACGGGAGGCAGCAGUGGGGAAUAUUGCACAAUGGGCGGAAGCCUGAUGCAGCGACGCCGCGUGAGGGAUGACGGCCUUCGGGUUGUAAACCUCUUUCAGCAGGGACGAAGCGUAAGUGACGGUACCUGCAGAAGAAGCGCCGGCCAACUACGUG